CCAAUAGCGUAUAUUAAAGUUGUUGCAGUUAAAAAGCUCGUAGUUGAAUUUCGGGAUCAAUAUAUCGGUCGUGCCUCUGGUAUGUACUGGUAUUAUUGAUUUCUACCUUCUGACGAACUAUGAUGUCAUUAAUUUGGUGUCAUAGGGAAUCAGGACUGUUACUUUGAAAAAAUUAGAGUGUUUAAAGCAGGCACACGCUUGAAUACAUUAGCAUGGAAUAAUGAAAUAGGACGUUUGAUCCUAUUUUGUUGGUUUCUAGGAUCGACGUAAUGAUUAAUAGUGAUAGUUGGGGGCAUUAGUAUUCAAUUGUCAGAGGUGAAAUUCUUGGAUUUAUUGAAGACUAACUACUGCGAAAGCAUUUGCCAAGGAUGUUUUCAUUAAUCAAGAACGAAAGUUAGGGGAUCGAAGACGAUCAGAUACCGUCGUAGUCUUAACCAUAAACUAUGCCGACUAAGGAUCGGAUGAUGUUAAUUUUUUAAUGACUCAUUCGGCGCCUUACG
rnacentral:rRNA from 1 species